CGUGUAGGCGGCUAGGUAGGUCCGUUGUGAAAACUCGAGGCUCAACCUCGAGACGUCGAUGGAAACCAUCUAGCUAGAGUCCGGAAGAGGAGAGUGGAAUUCCUGGUGUAGCGGUGAAAUGCACAGAUAUCAGGAAGAACACCCGUGGCGAAGGCGGCUCUCUGGUACGUGACUGACGCUGAGACGCGAAAGCGUGGGAGCAAACA
rnacentral:rRNA from 1 species